UGGGGAAUAUUGCACAAUGGGCGCAAGCCUGAUGCAGCCAUGCCGCGUGUGUGAAGAAGGCCUUCGGGUUGUAAAGCACUUUCAGCGAGGAGGAAGGUGGUGAGCUUAAUACGCUCAUCAAUUGACGUUACUCGCAGAAGAAGCACCGGCUAACUCCGUGCCAGCAGCCGCGGUAAUACGGAGGGUGCAAGCGUUAAUCGGAAUUACUGGGCGUAAAGCGCACGCAGGCGGUUUGUUAAGUCAGAUGUGAAAUCCCCGGGCUCAACCUGGGAACUGCAUUUGAAACUGGCAAGCUAGAGUCUCGUAGAGGGGGGUAGAAUUCCAGGUGUAGCGGUGAAAUGCGUAGAGAUCUGGAGGAAUACCGGUGGCGAAGGCGGCCCCCUGGACGAAGACUGACGCUCAGGUGCGAAAA
rnacentral:rRNA from 1 species